ACCACCUAUAUAACAAUGGCCAAAAGGCUUGCUAAUUGCAAAGUAUCCUUCAAGAACUAAAUACACCAAUUUUUAUAGUACCAGUCAUAGUUCUAAUCAAUUAUGAGAGCAAUGGCAGCCAAAUCCUCCCAAGAGUCUCUACUUGUGGUUGCAUUUGUUAUCUUUGCAAUCUUGGUUUCAUCAACCAUAACAUCUCAUGCAGCUGGAAGCACUGGAUUAACUCAUCGAGAAAUUAUGCAGAAGCCGAGUUGUCCUCCAUGUAUAUGUUGCCAUAAAGAACUGCCGCCACCGGAUUGUUGCUACUGCGCCUGUUAUGUUACUGAAUCCGGAAAUGAAGCUCCAUGAAAAUUGCACUCAGAGCCCUUCAAUUUCGACAGAAUUUUAUCCUACAGUAGCAAUGAUAUAAUGAGCAAAUUAUGGCUACUAUUUCCAUGGUUUCAUUUUCACUUGUUAUAAGUAAUGAUUAUGUCCAAUUUUUUUUUUUUGAAAUGAUGUAUAAUAAGCUGUCGAUGAUACCACACUCAAAAUUACUCUUGUUGUUACACAAUAAAUUUUUUAGUCUAUUGUUAUGUCCGUUAAGAUAUGAA